AGCUCCAAUAGCGUAUAUUAAAGUUGUUGCGGUUAAAAAGCUCGUAGUUGGAUUUCUACCGAAUUUGGCCCGUCCGCACUAUGUGCGUGUAUGUGGUUCGAGUUUGGUAUCCUCCUGGGGAACGGUGCUGCGCUUGAUUGCGUGGUCCGGAAUUCAGGACUUUUACUUUGAGGAAAUUAGAGUGUUUACGGCAGGCAAUCGCCUUGAAUACAUUAGCAUGGAAUAAUACUAUAGGACCUUGGUUCUAUUUUGUUGGUUUCUAGAACUAAGGUAAUGAUUAAUAGGGAUAAUUGGGGGCAUUCGUAUUAACACGUCAGAGGUGAAAUUCUUGGAUUGUGUUACGACGAACUACUGCGAAAGCAUUUGCCAAGGAUGUUUUCA
rnacentral:rRNA from 1 species